rnacentral:rRNA from 1 species
GUUUGAUCCUGGCUCAGGACGAACGCUGGCGGCGUGCCUAAUACAUGCAAGUCGAGCGAGCCGAACUAAUUGAUUACCUUCGGGUAUGAAGUUAGGGAAGCGAGCGGCGGAUGGGUGAGUAACACGUGGGUAACCUACCCUAUAGUCUGGGAUACCACUUGGAAACAGGUGCUAAUACCGGAUAAAAGGAGAGAUCACAUGAUUUCUCUUUGAAAGGCGGCGUAAGCUGUCGCUAAAGGAUGGACCCGCGGUGCAUUAGCUAGUUGGUAAGGUAACGGCUUACCAAGGCAACGAUGCAUAGCCGAGUUGAGAGACUGAUCGGCCACAUUGGGACUGAGACACGGCCCAAACUCCUACGGGAGGCAGCAGUUAGGGAAUUCUUCCCAAUUGGACGCCAAGUUCUGAUGGAGCAACGCCGCGUGGAGUGAAGAAGGUUUUCGAUCGUAAAGCUUCUGUUGUUGGUGAAGAAAGAUAGUGAGAGUAACUGCUCAUUAUUUGCCGGUAAUCAACCAGAAAGUCACGGCUAACUACGUGCCAGCAGCCGCGGUAAUACGUAGGUGGCAAGCGUUGUCUGGAUUUAUUGGGCGUAAAGCGAGCGCAGGCGGAAAGAUAAGUCAGAUGUGAAAGCCCUCGGCUUAACCGAGGAAUAGCAUCGGAAACUGUCUUUCUUGAGUGCAGAAGAGGAGAGUGGAACUCCAUGUGUAGCGGUGGAAUGCGUAGAUAUAUGGAAGAACACCAGUGGCGAAAGCGGCUCUCUGGUCUGUAACUGACGCUGAGGCUCGAAAGCAUGGGUAGCGAACAGGAUUAGAUACCCUGGUAGUCCAUGCUGUAAACGAUGAGUGCUAAGUGUUGGGAGGUUUCCGCCUCUCAGUGCUGCAGCUAACGCAUUAAGCACUCCGCCUGGGGAGUACGACCGCAAGGUUAAAACUCAAAGGAAUUGACGGGGGCCCGCACAAGCGGUGGAGCAUGGUGGUUUAAUUCGAAGCAACGCGAAGAACCUUUACCAGGUCUUGACAUCUAGUGCCAACCUAGAGAUUAGGCGUUCCCUUCGGGGACACUAAGACAGGUGGUGCAUGGCUGUCGUCAGCUCGUGUCGUGAGAUGUGGGUUAAGUCCCGCAACGAGCGCAACCCUUAUUAUUAGUUGCCAGCAUAAGUUGGGCCACCUCUUAAUGAGAACUGCCGGUGACAAACCGGAGGAAGGUGGGGAUGACGUCAAGUCAUCAUGCCCCUUAUGACCUGGGCUACACACGUGCUACAAUGGGCAGUACAACGAGGAGCGAACUUGUGAAGGCAAGCGAAUCUCUGAAAGCUGUUCUCAGUUCGGACUGUAGGCUGCAACUCGCCUAUACGAAGCUGGAAUCGCUAGUAAUCGCGGAUCAGCACGCCGCGGUGA